rnacentral:rRNA from 1 species
UCGGGAAUUUUGGGCAAUGGGCGAAAGCCUGACCCAGCAACGCCGCGUGAAGGAUGAAGUAUUUCGGUAUGUAAACUUCGAAAGAAUGGGAAGAAUAAAUGACGGUACCAUUUAUAAGGUCCGGCUAACUACGUGCCAGCAGCCGCGGUAAUACGUAGGGACCAAGCGUUGUUCGGAUUUACUGGGCGUAAAGGGCGCGUAGGCGGCAUAUUAAGUCAGCUGUGAAAUCUCCGAGCUUAACUCGGAACUGUCAGCUGAUACUGAUGUGCUAGAGUGCAGAAGGGGCAAUCGGAAUUCUUGGUGUAGCGGUGAAAUGCGUAGAUAUCAAGAGGAACACCUGAGGUGAAGACGGGUUGCUAGGCUGACACUGACGCUGAGGCGCGAAAGCCAGGGGAGCAAACGGG